AAUGAACGUUGGCGGCGUGGAUUAGGCAUGCAAGUCGAGCGAGAAGCUUAGGUUUGACGCUUCGGUUGAAGACCUGAGUGGAAAGCGGCGAAAGGGUGAGUAACGCGUAGUUAUCUGCCCCAGGGUCUGGAAUAGCCACGGGAAACUGUGGGUAAUGCCAGAUAAUAUCUCCGGAUCAAAGGUGUGAUUCCGCCCUGGGAGGAGACUGCGUACUACUAGCUUGUUGGUGGGGUAAAGGCCUACCAAGGCGACGAUGGUUAGCGGGCGUGAGAGCGUGGCCCGUCACACUGGGACUGGGACACUGCCCAGACACCUACGGGUGGCUGCAGUCGAGAAUCUUCGGCAAUGGACGAAAGUCUGACCGAGCGAUGCCGCGUGCGGGAUGAAGGCCCUCGGGUUGUAAACCGCUGUCAGUUGGGAGGAAGGCUUUGUGAAGAGCAAAGCUUGACCUAUCUUCAGAGGAAGUACGGGCUAAGUUCGUG
rnacentral:rRNA from 1 species